GAUGAACGCUGGCGGCGUGCCUAAUACAUGCAAGUCGAGCGAACAGAUGAGGAUCUUGCUCCUCUGACGUUAGCGGCGGACGGGUGAGUAACACGUGGAUAACCUACCUAUAAGACUGGGAUAACUUCGGGAAACCGGAGCUAAUACCGGAUAAUAUAUUGAACCGCAUGGUUCAAUAGUGAAAGACGGUUUUGCUGUCACUUAUAGAUGGAUCCGCGCCGCAUUAGCUAGUUGGUAAGGUAACGGCUUACCAAGGCAACGAUGCGUAGCCGACCUGAGAGGGGGAUCGGCCACACUGGAACUGAGACACGGUCCAGACUCCUACGGGAGGCAGCAGUAGGGAAUCUUGCGCGAUGGGCGAAAGCCUGACGGAGCAACGCCGCGUGAGUGAUGAAGGUCUUCGGAUCGUAAAACUCUGUUAUUAGGGAAGAACAAAUGUGUAAGUAACUAUGCACGUCUUGACGGUACCUAAUCAGAAAGCCACGGCUAACUACGUG
rnacentral:rRNA from 1 species